UACAUAUGGGGCAAGCGUUGUUCGGAAUUACUGGGCGUAAAGCGUGCGCAGGCGGUUUUGUAAGCCAGAUGUGAAAGCCCCGGGCUUAACCUGGGAAUGGCAUUUGGGACUGCAAGGCUUGAGUGCGGCAGAGGAGACUGGAAUUCCUGGUGUAGCAGUGAAAUGCGUAGAUAUCAGGAGGAAUACCGAUGGCGAAGGCAGGUCUCUGGGCUGACACUGACGCUCAUGCACGAAAGCGUGGGGAGCAAACAGG
rnacentral:rRNA from 1 species